rnacentral:rRNA from 1 species
AGAGUUUGAUCCUGGCUCAGAACGAACGUUGGCGGCGUGGAUUAGGCAUGCAAGUCGAACGAGGGCAGUCGUGUAGCAAUACAAGGCUGAACCGAGUGGCGAAAGGGGCAGUAAUGCAUGGGUAACCUACCCUGGGGACCGGGAUAGCUAUUCUAACGAGUAGGUAAUACCGGGCGAUUUGGCGGGUCGGCAUCGGCCUGCCAGGAGAUGGAUUCCGCCUCAGGAGGGGCUCAUGUGAUAUUAGCUAGUUGGUGAGGUAACGGCUCACCAAGGCAAAGACGUCUAGCAGGUGUGAGAGCACGACCUGCGCCACUGGCACUGAGACACUGGCCAGACACCUACGGGUGGCUGCAGUCGAGGAUCUUCGGCAAUGAGCGCAAGCUUGACCGAGCGACGCCGCGUGUGCGAUGAAGGCCUUCGGGUUGUAAAGCACUGUCGAGGGGGAGAAAGGCCCGCAAGGGUCUGAUCUAUCCCUGGAGGAAGCACGGGCUAAGUUCGUGCCAGCAGCCGCGGUAAGACGAACCGUGCGAACGUUGUUCGGAUUCACUGGGCUUAAAGGGCGCGUAGGCGGAUUCACAAGUCCGGGGUGAAAUCUUUCAGCUUAACUGGAAAAGUGCCUUGGAUACUGUGAAUCUCGAGGGAGGUAGGGGUCUGUGGAACUUCUGGUGGAGCGGUGAAAUGCGUAGAUAUCAGAAGGAACGCCGGUGGCGAAAGCGGCGGACUGGACCUCAUCUGACGCUGAGGCGCGAAAGCUAGGGGAGCAAACGGGAUUAGAUACCCCGGUAGUCCUAGCCCUAAAC